GGGGGUGACCUGGCUUCGACGCGGGUUACAAAGCCCGAGGUGCAUGUCGAGGAGGUAGCUACCCUCGUAAAUAAAGCUGCAAACUUAUAGUUGCAAAUGAUGCUAACUUUGAAGCGGAUAGUGCUGUUGUCUAAACCGCAGUAGUAUAACCCGAGCCGAGGCGUAAAAACCCGGCACUUCCCAUUGACUGAUCUAGCUUGCGAGGUCACUUCAAUGGUCAUUUUCAGCAAGCUCGUCGAUAGCAUGUCUAGCGGCUAUCGAUUAAAACUAGCUAGACUCACGCAGAUUGAUCCUGUCGGUCGGAGCAAGAUGCGUUAAACAAAAGACCAGACUAAACAUGUAGUACCAACGGUAGCGGAUUUGCGGACGCGGGUUCAAUUCCCGCCGCCUCCACCA
rnacentral:tmRNA from 2 species